rnacentral:rRNA from 1 species
CGGCGAUGCUNUGGGUCUGCCGCCCGCAAUGUCGUGAGAAGUCCACUGAACCUUAUCAUUUAGAGGAAGGAGAAGUCAUAACAAGGUUUCCAUAGGUGAACCUGCAGAAGGAUCAUUG